AUUGAACGCUGGCGGCAGGCCUAACACAUGCAAGUCGAGCGAGCGGCGGACGGGUGAGUAAUGUAUGGGGAUCUGCCCGACAGAGGGGGAUAACUUCUGGAAACGGUGGCUAAUACCGCAUAAUACCGUAUGCACCCAUAGGGGAUUAGCUAGUGGGUGGGGUAAAGGCUAACCAAGGCGACGCUCUCUAGCUGGUCUGAGAGGAUGAUCAGCCACACUGGGACUGAGACACGGCCCAGACUCCUACGGGAGGCAGCAGUGGGGAAUAUUGCACAAUGGGCGCAAGCCUGAUGCAGCCAUGCCGCGUGUAUGAAGAAGGCCUUAGGGUUGUAAAGUACUUUCAGCGGGGAGGCGUUACCCGCAGAAGAAGCACCGGCUAACUCCGUGCCAGCAGCCGCGGUAAUUC
rnacentral:rRNA from 1 species